UACGUAGGGGGCAAGCGUUGUCCGGAUUUAUUGGGCGUAAAGAGCGUGUAGGCGGCCAGGUAGGUCAGCUGUGAAAACUCGAGGCUCAACCUCGAGACGUCGGUUGAAACCACCUGGCUAGAGUCCGGAAGAGGAGAGUGGAAUUCCUGGUGUAGCGGUGAAAUGCGCAGAUAUCAGGAAGAACACCCGUGGCUAAGGCGGCUCUCUAGUACGGUACUGACGCUGAGACGCGAAAGCGUGGGGAGCGAACAGG
rnacentral:rRNA from 1 species